rnacentral:rRNA from 1 species
UAAUACGUAGGGGGCGAGCGUUGUCCGGAAUUAUUGGGCGUAAAGCGCGCGCAGGCGGUUUCUUAAGUCUGGUGUUUAAGUGUGGGGCUCAACCCCGUGUCGCAUUGGAAACUGGGGAACUGGAGUGCAGAAGAGGAGAGCGGAAUUCCACGUGUAGCGGUGAAAUGCGUAGAGAUGUGGAGGAACACCAGUGGCGAAGGCGGCUCUCUGGUCUGUAACUGACGCUGAGGCGCGAAAGCGUGGGGAGCAAACAGGAUUAGAUACCCUGGUAGUCCACGCCGUAAACGAUGAGUGCUAGGUGUCGGGGGGGUCCACCCCUCGGUGCCGAAGUCAACACAUUAAGCACUCCGCCUGGGGAGUACGGUCGCAAGACUGAA